rnacentral:siRNA from 1 species
ACUUGUGCUUCAAUUGGCUUAGUC